CAUGUCCUUAAGAUUUUAAUUUUAGGUCUGAUCUGCUCAGUGAUUAUUAAAUAGCCGUGGUAUUUUGACCGUGCAAAGGUAGCAUAGUAAUUAGUUUUUUUAUUGGAAGCUGGAAUGAAUGAUUGAACAAGGGAUUUUCUGUCUCCUAAUUAUUUAUUUUGAAUUUAACUUUUAAGUUAAAAGGCUUAAAUUUUUUUUAAAGACGAGAAGACCCUAUAGAGUUUUACAUAUUUUAAUGUUGAUAUUUUUUGGGAUUGGUUUAUUUUUAUAUUAAUUUUGUUUAGUUGGGGUGAUUGGAAGAUUAAUAUAACUCUUCUAUUUUUUGUUACUGAUUAGUAAUUUUUGUUUCUUUAAUUUUUAAGUUUAAAUUAAAUUACCUUAGGGAUAACAGCGUUAUUUCCCUUUAUAGUUCUUAUUGUUAGGGAAGUUUGCGACCUCGAUGUUGGAUUAAAAUUUAUGUUAGGUGUAGUGGCUUAUGCAUUGGAGUCUGUUCGACUUUUAAAAUUUUACAUGAUCUGAGU
rnacentral:rRNA from 1 species